UGAUCUGCAGGAGGAAUACCAUGGAUGUGCGGUGCAUUGUCAGUGUUAGCUGCAGUCAUUGCACGAUUUUCAAAAUCCACAAAUUGAGGUUUGAUUUUUAGAUAAAGAAUGUGAAGUCUGUGAGUAAAGCAAAUAUUUUCAGGGAAUGCAUGUAAAGAAGGUAUGGAUGGUUUUUAUAUUGAAACAAAAGGGUGUGUUGUUGGUUUGUCAUCAUAGGGAUGGACAUGUUGGUUUUGGAUCUGCCCAAGUGAUCAAAGAGAUAUUGGACCAUCUCGGAGGUCUGCUCGCAAGUGAAACUAUAGCAUUGAAGAGCAGAUAGGUGAUUGUGCAAGUUAAACCUAAGGUAUGUCUUCACUGUUUUUCGAGUUUCACCAGCCCUUUAUGAACUAAUGUUAUUAUGUGACAAGGGCUCCAUCUAUUGUCGCUAUUCUAUAUUACAACAUCCAGUUGUUCCAUUUCAAAUUUUUAGCCAGCAUUGCUGCCAGAUUUUCUAGCUAAAAUGCUCUUUGCUUCUUCAAUUGCCCGACAUUAUUAACUUUUUAUGAUGUAUUUCAUAUGUCAAUAUGUCAACAUGAUUGACCAGAUUAUUUUAGGAUGGUCCAAUAGAGAAACUAUGUGUUCAAUAGCUCUGUUCGCUGCUAACACCAAGAACCGUCCUUUUCAUAUGAGAAAAUAAUAAGAACUAUUUGAAAAGACUAUGCAAUAUUGAUUUGAAACAAGAAGUCAUAGCUGAACACAUGUUUUUAUUUUUCCUGACGAGGAAGUUGGUAUCAGCCAUAUUUUCACUGCAUGUUUGAGUAUUUACAUAUGCUAUGUUAAAGCUCUAGAUGACUAUUCUCUAAUUUAAGCUUGUCCUCUCAAAGAAGAAGCAUAUGAUUUUCUAGAAAGGGUCUGAACUGAGGGAAAAAUUAUAAAGAAGAUGUAUAUUGCCAAGAGGAGAAGUGCAGCAUAUGAUAGCUUAUGCUCAGCCAAGGUUUAUUUAUGUGAGAAAGGAGAGAAAUAGAAGGUGAUUUGAAGAUGGUAGUAGGAAGUGUGGUUGAACAAGCUUUAGACAAUAUUCAUGCAACAUCAGUUAAUGCUGUUAAGACAAUUCUUGAAGGAUAAAACCCCUGGUGUCACUAGCCAAACAAUAUAUUCAAGGCCAACUUGCUAAAUAUGGAAGAUGAGGUAUGUUCAAAUGGAAGUACUUGCUAUUCUUGAUGCUUUAUUACUAUGUGAUUUUUAGUAUUAUACUAACCUUCAAAUGAGUGCUGUGUUUUUAAUUUGUUCAACUGGCAUUUUUCCUCCUCUGUUAUAUUGGGGUCAUGAUUAUAAUUGCAAUACGAGCAACAGAGAGUAUCACUCAGCCUAAA